GCAUAUCAAUAAGCGGAGGAAAAGAAACCAACAGGGAUUGCCUCAGUAACGGCGAGUGAAGCGGCAACAGCUCAAAUUUGAAAUCUGGCUCUUUCAGGGUCCGAGUUGUAAUUUGUAGAAGAUGCUUUGGGUGUAGCUCCGGUCUAAGUUCCUUGGAACAGGACGUCAUAGAGGGUGAGAAUCCCGUACGUGACUGGUUGCUUUCGCUCGUGUAAAGCUCUUUCGACGAGUCGAGUUGUUUGGGAAUGCAGCUCAAAAUGGGUGGUAAAUUUCAUCUAAAGCUAAAUAUUGGCCAGAGACCGAUAGCGCACAAGUAGAGUGAUCGAAAGAUGAAAAGCACUUUGGAAAGAGAGUUAAACAGUACGUGAAAUUGUUGAAAGGGAAGCGCUUGCAACCAGACUUGCACGCUGUUGAUCAUCCGAGAUUUUUCCCGGUGCACUCGGCAGUGUUCAGGCCAGCAUCGGUUUUGGUGGGCGGAUAAAGGCCUUGGGAAUGUAGCUUCUUUCGGGGAGUGUUAUAGCCCUCGGUGCAAUGCGCCCUACCGGGACCGAGGACCGCGCUUCGGCUAGGAUGCUGGCGUAAUGGUUGUAAGCGACCCGUCUUGAAACACGGACCAAGGAGUCUAACAUCUAUGCGAGUGUUUGGGUGUCAAACCCAUACGCGUAAUGAAAGUGAACGGAGGUGAGAACCCUUAAGGGUGCAUCAUCGACCGAUCCUGAUGUCUUCGGAUGGAUUUGAGUAAGAGCAUAGCUGUUGGGACCCGAAAGAUGGUGAACUAUGCCUGAAUAGGGUGAAGCCAGAGGAAACUCUGGUGGAGGCUCGCAGCGGUUCUGACGUGCAAAUCGAUCGUCAAAUUUGGGUAUAGGGGCGAAAGACUAAUCGAACCAUCUAGUAGCUGGUUCCUGCG
rnacentral:rRNA from 1 species